rnacentral:rRNA from 1 species
CCUACGGGAGGCAGCAGUAAGGAAUAUUGGUCAAUGGAGGCAACUCUGAACCAGCCAUGCCGCGUGCAGGAAGACUGCCCUAUGGGUUGUAAACUGCUUUUAUCCGGGAAUAAACCUGCUUACGUGUAAGUAGCUGAAUGUACCGGAAGAAUAAGGAUCGGCUAACUCCGUGCCAGCAGCCGCGGUAAUACGGAGGAUCCAAGCGUUAUCCGGAUUUAUUGGGUUUAAAGGGUGCGUAGGCGGCCUGUUAAGUCAGGGGUGAAAGACGGUAGCUCAACUAUCGCAGUGCCCUUGAUACUGAUGGGCUUGAAUGGACUAGAGGUAGGCGGAAUGAGACAAGUAGCGGUGAAAUGCAUAGAUAUGCCUCAGAACACCGAUUGCGAAGGCAGCUUACUAUGGUCUUAUUGACGCUGAGGCACGAAAGCGUGGGGAUCAAACAGGAUUAGAUACCCUGGUAGUCCACGCCCUAAACGAUGAACACUCGCUGUUGGCGAUACACAGUCAGCGGCGUACGACGAAAGACGUUAAGUUAGUUCCGUAACCGUACGGGGUAGGUUACGGCCCGACCGAAGGGUUAGGUAACGUUACGAAGAGUAGUUAGGACGGCGAGAGACGCGACGACGACGACGACGGAGGAGGAGG